GCAAUGGGGGAAAGCUCUUCCCCCAUGCAAUGGGGGUCAAGGACUAUGAAAAGACUGUACUUGAAUACAUCCUCUAUUCAAGGACUUUCCAGCCCAAGUCUAGUGUCAAGACUGAAAGCUGUAAACAAAAGACAGCAGGAGCCUUGAUGUUGCCUAUCAAUACUCAGCAUCCGCACAGCAGACAGGUCAUUUGGUCCCAGCCUUCCGUACUUUGGUAAGGAAUACUUCUAUUCAAAGUACUAUUUCUAAAUUUAAAUCUCUAGCAAACUUAGCACAUCUGACUUCUAUCCAAAUUGACGAUGUUUUGUGUCUUGAAUUAAAAAGUCAGUGGUAGUCUUUUCAUACCUACUAGAAUUUGUUCCAGUUCCUAGACUAUUACCACUAAUUUAUAAAAUAAGCUACAGCAAUAGUUCUUCUUGCAGUUAUGGUAAAUGUGAGUGAAAGUGAACCCUUCUUUUUGCUUUGACAGUAAUAUUAACACAUUCGGAAUGUUUAAAAAAUGGAAUUAAAUAAGACCAAUAAGGUAAAUAAAAGACAGAUUGAUAUCAUGAAAAGCCAAACAUUGUAAGAUUUUGUUUUAAUAUUUUCUUUUAUGGAUUUCUCUGUGAUCUUCCAAUCCACAAGGGCUUCCAUGACAAUGAGGUGCGCAGGAUUUUGUAAAAAAAAUAAACAAAACAAGUGAAUAAAGACUCUCAAAUUAAAGCAUUUUUUUAAAAAAGGUGCAGGAUUUAUUUCAUGAUCUACAUUGUCCAAUUCUCUGUUUUUGUGUUUCUCUAAGCUCUUUUCUUCCUCUCCAACAUUAACUAUGAGCACCUUUCCUUUUAGCACAUUAAGAGUAAAAUGGCACUAUUAGACUAGCAUUGCAGAUAGACUAGCCCAUUAAUUGUUGUAUUGUGGGGAGGGGGAGUCUGUUUGUAAGAGAUCCUGGGUAAGUGUUUACAUUCCCCAUUGUUGGUUUCAAGCUAUGAAAGGCACUGUAUUAGUGAAAAUGAACCUUGGAGAGGCUUUCUUCUUUUUCAUUCACAAGUAAAUAAAAACAUUUUCUGAUGUGAUUGCAAGUCACCCUGGGCAAAUCAGAAAUGAUUCUAUGAAUAAAAUAAAUGCCACACAUAUGAGCAAAAAAGGAGGAAACUACUGAGUGUGAAUCACAUAGCUCACAUGAAAUUUUAGGCUGUGAGCUUGGGUUUCCUAUUGAAUUUAACAGAGCUUACUUCUGAGCAAGGAAGGAUCACAACUACACCUAGGACCAUAGUCAUAAGGUCAUUUUCUGUAUAGCCGGAAACCAUAUCUCUAGUUUUAUAUCAAUACUAUUACUGUAUGAUUUCUUUUAUCUUUACUCCAAUGAACAAAAGUGUUUAUGCAUUUAAAUAACAAUGGCGUUUGUUUUUGGCAACAUGUUAAACAUAGAAAUUCAAGAGAUUCAUGAAUAUUUAAUAAAAAGUGAGAUAACUUAUUUGACUUCCACAAAUACUUGAAUGACGCUGAUAAUGACUGCAUACAGAUCACUCCAUCAUGUGCUUUAUUGAUAUAUUAUUUUAAGCACAGGACUCUGUUGUAUAACUGCAGCAUACCUAAAGAAAACCUCACACUGCAUUUGCUACAGAAGUAUAUUCCUUGGACAUCAGGACUUAAUUACAAUAUUUUAGUUGGUGGAAACAGACAAUAAACACACUAGAAGGUUUACAUGACCAAGGGGAAUCAAACCUACCAAUAUCCCUCUGUUACAGGUGGUAGCCAUUUAUCUGAGACAAUUGAUAUGUGUGGGUCUAAAACCACUGCUGCCAUUCUGCAGUCUGCACCAAUAUUUUUGCUGUGAGAUUUACUGGUUUAUUUUGAAAAGUUUAAGCUCUCUAAUGUACAGAUGCAUCCUUUACUUAUGCUAAGAUGAAACAGCUGCCUCUAUUACUGGGUGGUAAGGAGACCCAGGCUAAGAGAGGCCGAGAUGUCCUAGAUGCUACUACACAAUGUUUUGGAGGUUUUUUUUGUUUGUUUGUUUUUGCAGUUUUUCAGAGUUGCAGAAAAGCUUCAACCAAUUCUUUGGCAAGCAUUUGACUGAAAAGUGAAGUGAUUUGAUCAUUGUACAAAUGGAUGAGAUUUUCGUGCUUCUUGAAAAUUGGUUGUGCAACUAUCUGACUUAGAACUUUAUCACACAAGCCAGGCAAACUGGCAUUGCAGCUGAACUGCCACCAUUGGUGAUAGUAGCUAAAAUACGAAACCUUGUGCAUCCCGCUACUAGCUUGCCUCCCAUCAGCCAUGAUUCUCCCAUCCCCACUAUUCUCAUUGCCUAGAUUUGUGCUAUGUUUCUUGUAAGCCUUCUUAAGUCUCUAUAUUGGGGAAAAGGUGGGAUAAAAAUAAAAAAGUAAAUGAAAAAUGACUCUCUU
ensembl:lncRNA